rnacentral:lncRNA from 1 species
AUGAAAUCGUUACCCUCUAAAAGUUUGCCAUCACCAUGCCCGACUGCUGAGACAACAAGGACUUCACAGACAUCAAUCAAGACACCAAACUCCAAGUCACAAAAGCCCACUUGUUCCCCCGCUGUGCCCAAAUCAAAAGCUCACCAUGAAAUCCCUAACUUAUUAUGCUUCCCUCCCCUAUUUCCGUCUGAUGUGUCUCUGGCUGGUACCAGAUCACCGCUACCCAAAGAGCCUCUCUCCCCUUCUCCAUCUGCAUCCUUCUCGCUCAGGUCCAAAUCUGCACUCUCACCAUCAAGCUCUACUGAGGUAACUUUGUUUCCUGAAGUUCGCCAUUCAACCCCAUUACGACAACGCUCGGACUCAUCUCUGCAGCCAGAACAAUCACAAUCUUCCAAUUUAUUUCAAGAACCAAUCUCAUCCCCAAUGCUUUCUCAAUCAGCACCAAGCAAUCUGGAGGCCCCGGAGCAAUCCCAGCAUUCCUUGAGUGACCCAGACUCUUUCCUAUCAGAUAAUGAACUCAAGCUGCCGCAGUCUUCCGGGCCAAACCCACGACCAAAAUCCCUGGAACCAACGCAGUCACAGACAAACCCUGCACCGUUUAGCACGGCUGUAAAAACCCUAUCAAGUUCAUUUAACCAGUCCCCGUCAGAAGUAAAUUCUAGAGAAAAGUCAACUCCAUCAUAUGGGGAUGCUACGGUUUAUACGUCUUCUCCCUCCUUCUCUGGUGACCCUGAAUCAACCCAUCAAGCUCGGCAGGAUACAAAGUGCAUCCCAUCGAUUUCAUCACAUCCCUUAAAUGUCGUCCAGAAUCACCCUUUCACUGUGAGAAUGAAGGAGGAAGAGGAGCUAUCAAUGGACAGUGGAGAUGAAAUGUCCAGCGAUAGUCUGGAUCUGGCUUCACAUGACGGAGGCUCUUCAGAUGAAGACGCACAGAUGCGCGGACGUUUAACGAGACGGAGAUCCAGAGAAGGAGAGCAAGGGAUUUCUGCCACGUCUCAUCUCGGAGAUUCCUUUGUUCCUGCACAUGCAGACGUAGAAAAGGAUCUGCAGACUGAUGAGCCAGAACGGCUGUCAGAAGAACCAUACACGGUGACGCACAACUGGAGUGCUGGGUCUGGAUCAGAGCGAUUGUCUAGUCUGCGGGGGCUCUCCCCUCGCAGAGUGGAUUUGAAUUCUGCUCACUCUGACACGCCAGAACACACACACUUUGACCCAGGCUCAACAGAGUCAGAGUCUCCUGGACCAAGCGGCCGCCUCAGUACCAACACUGAGGGACACCUGUUUUUAAAAAUGGACAACAACAUGCAGGCAACUGGAAUUCAAAUUCGCUCGGCCACAACUUCCAGGAGAGGAGAAACAUCAGCAUAUGAACAAGCUACAUCUGGGACGCAUCGGGCUUCAUCGUGUGGUGAAAUGAACAGUGGAAGUCGAACUCAGCAUGGGAGUCAGUGACUGACACGGGACAGAGUCGGCGAGGAACAAAAGGAGGCGGAGGAGGCUGCACAGAGAGACCUGCAGUGUGUCCACUUACUACCCUGAGAUAUUUGCACACACACGCACUCACAUUGCAGAGUAGAGAGUAAAGCGGCAAAAAUACACAGUUUAAUUUAAAUUGUGUUCACAUGUUGUCAAGGCUGGUGUAGAUGCCCCUUUAACCUCUGAAUCUAAAUCUGCAUAGAACUCUCGUCGUGCAAAUAAAUGAAAAUCUAAUGCUUUGAAGAACAAUGCUGGAAUUUGAUUAAAACAAUGUUUUGGAUUUCGAGUUGGGAUUUAUCUCUGUAUGAAUGUGUACAUGUUCUCACUGCACUAUAUUUAUGUCACUCGUACACUGUAUGAAAGGCAGCUUUGAGAUACCCGCCUGUGGAUGGAUUAUCUGAAGGUAUACGAAACAAACAAUGAGACGGGAAAAGGACGAGUACAGUACGGAUCUUCAGCUUUGAUUUCUUUGUGUGUUUCCAAGUGUGUGUGUGUGUGUGUGUGUGUGUGGCGCGCUUGUGUAGGUGUGCUGUCGUUGAGUUACAGUUGGCUGUGGUGUAAAUUAUGAGGGAAUAAGUAUCUGUGCCAACGGCUGCCAUCUCUCCGUAUGUGUGUGCAGGAGUUGGGGAAGAUAAACACCAGGCACAGGAAUUGGUUUGUCUUCUCUGUAGUAAAUGCACAGUUGGUGUGUAUGGGAGUGUGUACUGUAUAGAAGUGGAAGUAUUUUUUCUCCAGGUUUUUCAUUACCCCCCCAUCCUGUCCUUGCCCACCAGAGCUGCCAGGGUCCUCGGCUGAGUUCACAAACCACCAGUCGCUCGUUUAUUUCCAGCCAACGCGCACGUGAGGAUCGGGACAGGGACAAACAGGUAAACACAGGAGACCGAUCGCUCCUGUGUUACACACUCCAACGCACACAAACUGUUUGAAGCAGCAUGGAUGUCGAAGAUGCCGUGAAGAGUGAGGUUCAUUUGUGAACUGUCCACGUGGCUGUGUGUGAAUUCGAGCAUAUGCGCGGGGGGGCACUGUUUACUUCAGUCACCGUCGAGGGAUGCACAGGUACUUUAUUUGACUCGAUGUUAAUCGCCAGGAGCGGACAGCGAAAGCCCUGUAAUCCAACAGCAAUCACAGCAAGACUGAUUGACAGCACACGGGCGGAGAGAGAGAGAGAGAGAGAGAGGAGGACCGAGAGACCCAGCGGCAAUGAGGAAGAGGGGUGAAAAUGGUAGAUUGCUUGUUAUUGUGUCCUUAACUGAGUUCAUCACUUACUGUUUAGGAGAGGAAAAUAACAGAGACACGAGUCUGAUGGAUAUCGAACCGCUGGGCCGGGUUUAACCAACUCUGAGAUCCGUGCACCUCUUUCUCUCCCUCUCUCUCACGCACGUGGAUACAAACGGACAGAGAACCAGAAAAGAGCGCUGACCUUUGUUGGGUGUUGAGUUGUCUGUGAUGUUGUUAAUGCCGUCAAGAAAGACAGUGACGGAGGAGGAGUUGACGUCUAAGUCCACUGUUAACUGACCCUUUUCCACAACUGGACUUCAGACUGGGUCGGAAAAACUGACAAAAAGACUCUUUUUUUUUGCUAAACUCUCUAUUUUUUAAUUAUCGAGGAAAACCCCAACUCAUUUUAAUACACAAUACAUAUUACAGUGGACAUUUAUUGCAAAGUCAAUCAGAAGAAUGCAGCUUCCCUUCCCCCCUUCCCUGUCUCCUCAAGUGUGAUUUUUUUUCCAUACUACUUUGCUUUUUUUUUUUUUUUCCUUUUUUCUUUUUACAGCAACUUGCUCGGUAGAUACAUUUUUGUUCUGCUUCUGGCUUCAUGUCCACUCAUUUUCUGAUGAAAAGCCAUUCAAUUUUCCUCAGUCAGAAUGCCCUGAAAGCACUGCCUUGUUCACACACACACACACACACACACACUCAUUAACCACCUACAGUGAGCCGCAAGGGACAGUGUCCACAAAAUGGGUCGAAAAUAGAAGAAAUUGCACUCCUGGCGCAGAAAGGGGUUCAGUUUUCUUAUAAAUCAAUCCCCUAUUAGCCUUUUUUAUGAACUCACGAGGGAAUCCUCUGACAAUGUUCUGCCGCAAACUCGGGUCUCUGCAAGACAUGCAGUGGUUUUCACCAAAGGUGAAGAUUUGUGGCAGCAUCAUCGCCGCCAUCACCCCAGGUAGAGGUAGCUGAACUCCCGGCAGCAGCUCGCGUCCACUUGUGCUGUAGCCCCCAUGUCAGGGGGUCACACUUUGCUGCAGCUGAUUUGAAGGACUGAGAUGACGUAACGCAGGUAAGUUUACGUUCGCACUUUUUACGGUUUCAUUUCGACCUAUUUGGUCCGCCCAACGAAGAGGCUCCAGGAAGAACUGAAGGCCGAAAUGCACGGAGACAAAAACACAACAUGAGCUCCGUCAGUUUACCCAUUCAGAAUAAUGUUGGGGGUUUUUUUGUUGGUUUUCUUUUGGUUUUUUAUGGUGUUGGUGAUGUCAUCGCUGACAUCAUGGGUUAAACCAACUGGUGGGGGUUUCUUUUCAGUGGGGACGUUUGGUUUGAUGCUUUAUCGUUUGUUCACGUCACGUGUUGAGAUACUCACCCUUCGUAUGGUGAAUUGGUGACGUAAUGAGCUUGGGAAUAGGAGUUUUACGAUUAGUUUAUGUUACCUGGUGUUAAGGGUACUGUAUGUGUCAACCCUCAGUGAACGCUGGUGUGGGCUGAAGUAGUUUAGGUGUCAAUUGAACACCCUAUAUAUUCACCUGGAGCCUUCCCUCUCGAGGUUGGGGGGGAACAAGGUGCGGCCAUGCGGCCAUGCUUGUCUGAGUUUUCAGUCAAUUUUCAGUUAUUGUCUUGAGUUUUUGACUGACUCACUCGUGGGGCUCUGAAGGCCCUGAAGCCUCCUGAGGUGAAAUCUGAACAAGGAAAACAGAACUUUGAAGGACAACUUCCAUUUUUUGGGAGCAAAUUCUAGGAACUGAGAACUUUUUUUUUUAAAUAAGUGGACCCUUACGGACUAAAGGAAUACAAACAAUCCAGGAAUGGAAAAGACAACUUCACCGCUGUAAAGGUAGGGAUUCCGCCAAUGUUUUGCAUCUUGCUUCAUGAUGCCGGUAAAUUCAAAAUGAAAGGCAAUUUUGCACUCGUGGUAUUAGUAAAAUGAACCCAAUGGGUGAGUUUUGGAGAAACUAACUAAAAGUGUAUAGUUGACGGAAACCGCUCUCGUUGCUGCAGGCUCUCCCCAUGUUCUGAGUGUGUGUUCGCUGAAGAGCACAAAACGAUGUGUGUUCAUGCUCGUAAGUUAGACAAGAAAGAGACAUUUGACGGGGAAGUUAAGUGGGCUGUUGUUCAGUCUGUGGCUCCAUGUGUAGGCGGAUGUUGUCUGGAUAGAAGGGGGACUCGACUGCUUCAUUCAAAGGUCUGAUUGGCUGCGUGCAAACGACAUCUCCAUCUCCACGGCUUGUGCUCUCAUUAAAUAAUAAAAAAUUUAAAAAAACCCUGGCAACAACAAAAGAUCAAAUGUAUUCAUUUUUCCUCAC